GCUCCCAUGGUGUAACCGGAUAACACACUAGACUUCUAAUCUUGCAAUGCCAGUUCGAGUCUGGCUGGGAGUU
rnacentral:tRNA from 2 species